GCAUCCGUAGCUCAGUUGGAUAGAGUACUCGGCUACGAACCGAGCGGUCGGAGGUUCGAAUCCUCCCGGAUGCACCAGCA
rnacentral:tRNA from 1 species